AAUGGUUUAUGGUAUACUCUAUCAGGCUCAUAACCUGAAGGUCGUUGGUUCAAAUCCAACCCCCGCAACCA
rnacentral:tRNA from 1 species